rnacentral:lncRNA from 1 species
AAACCAAGCUGGUAAAAUUUCAAAACAGACUUCGCGCGGUCAAUUGCAGACAGCCCCCGCCCCUCCUCCCCUGAUUAUUCUCCGAACAAUGCUCCUCCAAUUUUGCAACCCUGGCAGCUAUCGUCAAGGCCUGAGCUGGGCGACUGAUGGUGACGAAAUCUAUAUCAGUCUCUGUUGAGCCACAAGUUUAAUGACAUUUUCCAUGUCAAAUAUCCGUCUUAUCCAGCUGCUUCAUGGUAUUUCCAGUCUAAAUAUAUAGCUGAAAUUUGAGACAUUUGGGAGUGCUGAAGCCUGCAAUUUCCUAUAUAUAUGCUUCCCUAUCUCAUAUGUUAUCAAGUUCAACUUUUUUGCAGAAGGACUUUGUUUGAGCAAACAAAGACUUUUUUGCAGAAGGAUCUAACGAGUCUGCUAAUCUUAAGGAGAUAGAACUUCUGGCUGCCUCCAUCUUAAUUCAUCUUCUUGACCAGGUAUGUAGCUACACCAAAGGUAUCCUGGUAGUAAAAAUUCCAACAAGGAUUUAUUCUGAAAGAAAAACAUUUGUCAAUCGUUUUGUACUUCUCCUUCACUUUCUGUGAACAGAGAAUGACUCAUUAAAUAUUAGCAUCUAAAUUCUUUGUCCUGCGGUUGGGAAGUAAUUACAACGAGUUUUUACAUUAAAAUGCAUCUCACAUUUGCUGUUGACGUCC